AUGUCCACUCCAUCUCCAAACUCCCCCACUGGCUUUCUCCCUACUAUCAGUUCUAGCAGCACCACGCCGAAGCUGUAUACAUCGAUUUUCUCGUCUACCUUGAGCGUGUAAGCGAAUUCUGGUGCGAUGUAGCCAUAUGUGCCAGCAAAAGCGGACAUCCACUCCGAUGCACCAGCGUGCCGUAAGAACUUGGCCAGCCCAAAAUCGGCCACAUGAGCUUCAAAGUCUGAA
rnacentral:misc_RNA from 1 species